UAGUUUUGCAUAGUUUUUAAAUAUUUUUAAAUUUCAAAAACCUCUAAUUUGAUCUUUUUAAUUUUUAAAUCUUUUAAAUAUAUUUUUUUCCCCAAGAUUUUGGCUAUUUUUUUUACUAAAAAUUCCAACCGAUUAUAACCGAUGCUUAAAUGACGAAAAUAAAUAACGUGACAUUAAUCGAGAUGAUGUGGCAUAACGGAUGAAAUUUUUUAUCUUGAUGAUAUGG
rnacentral:lncRNA from 1 species